GCAUAUCAAUAAGCGGAGGAAAAGAAACCAACAGGGAUUGCCCUAGUAACGGCGAAGUGAAGCGGCAACAGCUCAAAUUUGAAAUCUGGCCCUUUCAGGGUCCGAGUUGUAAUUUGUAGAGGGUGCUUUGGCGUUGGCUGUGGUCUAAGUUCCUUGGAACAGGACGUCGCAGAGGGUGAGAAUCCCGUAUGUGGCCGCCAGUCUUCGCCGUGUAAAGCCCCUUCGACGAGUCGAGUUGUUUGGGAAUGCAGCUCUAAAUGGGAGGUAAAUUUCUUCUAAAGCUAAAUAUUGGCCAGAGACCGAUAGCGCACAAGUAGAGUGAUCGAAAGAUGAAAAGCACUUUGGAAAGAGAGUCAAAAAGCACGUGAAAUUGUUGAAAGGGAAGCGCUUGCAGCCAGACUUGCCUGUAGUUGCUCAUCCGGGCUUCCGCCCGGUGCACUCUUCUGCGGGCAGGCCAGCAUCAGUCCUGGCGGUCGGAUAAAUGUUCGCCGAAUGUACCUCUCCUCGGGGAGGACUUAUAGCGGCGGGCGGCAUACGACCAGCCGGGAUUGAGGUCCGCGCAUCUGCUAGGAUGCUGGCGUAAUGGCUGUAAGCGGCCCGUCUUGAAACACGGACCAAGGAGUCUAACAUCUAUGCGAGUGUUUGGGUGUCAAGCCCGAGCGCGUAAUGAAAGUGAACGGAGGUGGGAACCCCUCGGGGCGCACCAUCGACCGAUCCUGAUGUCUUCGGAUGGAUUUGAGUAAGAGCAUAGCUGUUGGGACCCGAAAGAUGGUGAACUAUGCCUGAAUAGGGUGAAGCCAGAGGAAACUCUGGUGGAGGCUCGCAGCGGUUUCUGACGUGCAAAUCGAUCGUCAAAUUUGGGGCAUAGGGGCGAAAGACUAAUCGAACUAUCUAGUAGCUGGUUCUGCCGA
rnacentral:rRNA from 1 species